rnacentral:rRNA from 1 species
GGCUCAGGAUGAACGCUAGCUACAGGCUUAACACAUGCAAGUCGAGGGGCAGCAUGGUCGAAGCUUGCUUCGACUGAUGGCGACCGGCGCACGGGUGAGUAACGCGUAUCCAACCUGCCCACCACUUGGGGAUAACCUUGCGAAAGUAAGACUAAUACCCAAUGAUAUCCCACGAAGGCAUCCGAAUGGGAUUAAAGAUUUAUCGGUGAUGGAUGGGGAUGCGUCUGAUUAGCUUGUUGGCGGGGUAACGGCCCACCAAGGCUACGAUCAGUAGGGGUUCUGAGAGGAAGGUCCCCCACAUUGGAACUGAGACACGGUCCAAACUCCUACGGGAGGCAGCAGUGAGGAAUAUUGGUCAAUGGGCGAGAGCCUGAACCAGCCAAGUAGCGUGCAGGACGACGGCCCUAUGGGUUGUAAACUGCUUUUAUAAGGGAAUAAAGUGAGUCUCGUGAGACUUUUUGCAUGUACCUUAUGAAUAAGGACCGGCUAAUUCCGUG